AAGCAUUGGAAGGGGCUCCCAGGGAGGUUUAGAAUCCCCAUCCCUGGAGGUGUCCAAGGAAAGCCUGGAUGUGGCACGCUGUGCUCU